rnacentral:lncRNA from 1 species
UAUUUAUGUUUAAGUCUACAGAAUAAUGAAAUAUUUAUAUACAAAGUAAAAUAUAAAAAUAAAAAUAAAAAUAGAUAUACCAAAAAUGACAGUAUAACAAAUGAUAUAAAUACGACCUCCCAAAACAAACCCACACAUCAAAACAAUAAAAAAGUUGAAAUAAAAAACGAAAAUGACACAACUAAUCCGUCAUUAUAUCAUCAGCAUAUAUCAAUAAAACAUGAAUCUAAAAGUUCAUUUAUAGAAAAUGAUGUUCGCAACAAUAAUAAUAAUUAUAAUAAUUCUAAUAAUUAUGUAACAAAUGCAAUUAAAAAAAAAGAAAAAAAUAAUAAAUACAGCAAAGAAAAAUCAUUAAAAAAAAUACAUAUUAAAAAAUUAUUUGAUAGUGUAAAUUGUAAUUAUCACUUCGACAAAAUUGAGUUUAUAAAAUUAAACGGUUAUGAUGAAAAAAUGUAUAAUACGAUGAAGAAUAUUAUAGAGCAAACGUCGAAUGAAAAAGACCAAACAGUAACAAACAAUAUGAAAAAAAAUGUGACAACAGAUGAGGCAAGAAAUGUGAUAGAAAAUAAUAUAACAUUAGACAUACAUGAAAAAAAAAAACUAGAAGAUGUAAUAAAAACAAAUAUUAACUGUGAUAUAAACGCCAAUAAACAUAGUUCUCAUUUUUACAAUAGUUUUAAAAACCAAUAUUACUCCAAAAACGAUAAUGUUGUUUAUGUAAAAAAUAAUAAUAAAGUAGGUGUUGUCAAUUGUCCAAAGUGUUUUGAAAAAAACUGUGAAAAAAAUGAUGAACGUAUAGACGAACAUAUAGACGAACAUAUAGACGAACAUAUAGACGAACAUAUAGACGAAUGUAUAGACGAACACAUAAAGGAACGUAAUGAAGAUAAUGAUAAUAAUAAUAUAAAUGUUUUAUUUAUGUAUUUUCGGGAACCGACUACUAUAUUUAUGAAUAACUUUGUUACGGUUAAUAAAGGAACAAAGCAAAAUUUUAUAAAUGAGAUAAUAGGGUUUUCAAAUAAUCAAAAAUAUGAUAAUAUAGAAAAAGAAUAUUCAAAAGUAAAAAGAAAAAAUAAUUUAAGAUCAUUAUUGCGAAAAAUGGAAAAUUCCCAAUUGUCAUGUACCAUAUUUGAAAAUUAUGAAAGUGACAUCAGCAUACGUAGUAACGACUUAUUCUUUAGUGAUGCUGAAGUUAUAACCAACAAUAACGAAUCGGACACGCUUUUUAACCAAACAAACAUGCUUUAUAGUAAGCCCAAUACGAAAAGGGACCAUUGUUUAUACAAAAGAAAUGACUUAAAAAUAAAAUGGCUAUUAUUAAAUUUGAAUUUAAAAAAAGAAGAAGAACAGAUAAUACAAAAUUAUGUAAUGUCUAAAAAAACAAAUGAUUUAAAAUUAUAUAAAACACCUGUUAAUCAAAAUAAGUAUAAUAAUAGUUAUAAUAGUAAUUUAAAAAAUAAUUUAUUAUCAAAACGGGUGGAAUAUAAUCAUAUGAAAAUAGAAAAUGAGGAAUCAGGCAAAGAAAAAAACUAUUUUAAUAAGUAUAACCAGCAUUACUUAGGUAUAAGUGGCAAUGACAAUGACAAUGGUAAUGACAAUGGCAAUGGUAAUGACAAUGGCAAUGACAAUGAUAAUGACAAUGGUAAUGGCAGUGGUAAUGACAAUGGUAAUGGCAGUGGUAAUGACAAUGGUAAUGGCAGUGGUAAUGACAAUGGUAAUGACAAUGGCAAUGAUAAUGACAAUGACAAUGAUAAUGGCAAUGACAAUGAUAAUGGCAAUGAUAAUGGUAAUGGCAGUGGUAAUGACAAUGGCAAUGAUAAUGGUAAUGAUAAUGACAACCACCAUGACAGUCGCAAUGAUAACUAUGGUUACUGUAACAAUGACAACUAUUGUGACAAUCGCAAUGACAUACAUAAAAAUCAACAGCGCAUCCCCUGUACUGAUUUUCAUAUUGAAAGUCAAGAUAGUAAUAAUAAUAAUAAUAGUAACAAUAAUAAUAAUAAUAAUAGUAACAAUAAUAAUAAUAAUAAUAGUAACAAUAAUAAUAAUAAUAAUAGUAACAAUAAUAAUAAUAAUAGUAACAAUAAUAAUAAUAAUAGUAAUAGUAAUAAUAAUAAUAAUAUUAAAAAUACAAACAGCAACAACAUACUAAACUAUGCAUAUUCAAACAAAAUAAAUAAUGCACAAACAUCAGACGAUAAAAAAAAAAGUUAUGAUGAUAAUAAUUUAAUUUUUAAAUUUCAAAUUAAAACAAAUAAAACCUUAUCCAAAAUAUCCAGCAAAAACAAAAACGUAAAAAGAGAAUUAAAUAAAGAAACAAUAUACAUCAGCCAAAAUCAAAAUGAUAUUAGGACAGUUAAUUCCGGAUUUGUUAUUUUG